AGUGAACGCUGGCGGUAGGCCUAACACAUGCAAGUCGAACGGCAGCACAGUAAGAGCUUGCUCUUACGGGAGGCGAGUGGCGGACGGGUGAGGAAUACAUCGGAAUCUACUUUUUCGUGGGGGAUAACGUAGGGAAACUUACGCUAAUACCUCAUACUACCUACGGGUGGAAGCAGGGGAUCUUCGGACUUUGCGCGAGUGAAUGAGCCGAUGUCGGAUUAGCUAGUUGGCGGGGGAAAGGCCCACCAAGGCGACGAUCUGUAGCUGGUCUGAGAGGAUGAUCAGCCCCACUGGCACUGAGACACGGUCCAGACUCCUACGGGAGGCAGCAGUGGGGAAUAUUGGACAAUGGGCGCAAGCCUGAUCCAGCCAUACCGAGUGGGUGAAGAAGGCCUUCGGGUUGUAAAGCCCUUUUGUUGGGAAAGAAAAGCAGCAGGUUAAUACCCCGCUGUUCUGACGGUACCCAAAGAAUAAGCACCGGCUAACUUCGUG
rnacentral:rRNA from 1 species